AGAUCUGAAUUUAGGGAUUUCGACCAUGGAUUUUUAUUUCCCCUUUCCUCGUUGAAGAUGAACUGGAUCUAGGAUCAUUGCUUGGCUGAUAAAUUCCGGCGAGAUCUCUCACUGGAGAACACGAACUUUUUAAUUGAAAUUGAGGCUUCACGAUUUCUAUGAGAGAAUAAUUGAUCCGAAAUUGGGGAUCGAAAGAAAUAAGAGGAAUCUCCCCGGAAAGAGCUCAAAUCGAAGACUUCAUGGCCCCGAUUCCGAAAAUCGGAAAUCCC
rnacentral:lncRNA from 1 species